UUUUGGAUGUAGCUAGACAUUGAAAUUCAUUAACCUUUUUUAUUUAGGAAAAAGAGACGUUUUUCUUACAUUAAGUCUUCUUCCCAUCUAAAACAUGGCAUGUCUCUCAAUUUAUGUAGAUGCUAUUUUGUAUCUUUCAGAAAGAAUUUAGUCUGCUUCAUAUAGAUCCUAUUAAAAACACUAUUGAUAUUUCCAUAGUAUCUUUUUACAAUUCUCAGGGU
rnacentral:lncRNA from 1 species